UACAGAGGUCUCGAGCGUUGUUCGGAUUCAUUGGGCGUAAAGGGUGCGUAGGCGGCGGGGCAAGUCUGAUGUGAAAUCCCGGGGCUCAACCCCGGAACUGCAUUGGAUACUGCCUUGCUAGAGCACUGGAGAGGAGACUGGAAUUUACGGUGUAGCAGUGAAAUGCGUAGAUAUCGGGAGGAACACCUGUGGCGAAAGCGGCGCACUGGACCACAACUGACGCUGAGGCGCGAAAGCUAGGGGAGCAAACAGG
rnacentral:rRNA from 1 species